rnacentral:rRNA from 1 species
UACGAGAGGCCCAAACAUUAUUCGGAAUUACUGGGCUUAAAGAGUUCGUAGGCGGCGUGGAAAGUAGGGUGUGAAAGCCCUCGGCUCAACCGAGGAAUUGCGCUCUAAACUGCCGUGCUAGAGGAAGCUAGAGGUGAGCGGAACUGAUGGUGGAGCGGUGAAAUGCGUUGAUAUCAUCAGGAACACCGGAGGCUGAGGCGGCUCACUGGGGCUUUUCUGACGCUGAGGAACGAAAGCCAGGGUAGCGAACGGG